GAGAGCACAGUACGAUGAAAGUUGUAAGCUGUGUUCGGGGGGGAGUUAUUGUCUAUCGUUGGCCUCUAUGGUAGAACCCGUCGGGGAGGCCUGAGAGGCGGUGGUAUACCCUGU
rnacentral:ncRNA from 1 species